AUGCAGGGGGGACGCGGACCGUCCGGCUGGGCGGGGAGCCCCCGGGACUCGAUCCCGCGCCGCGGGGAGCCGGCCUCCCGCGAGGGCGGACGCUUAAGCGCCUGGGCCCCAGAGCCCCUUCCCGUCUGCCUUGCACCAGCUCCCACGCCGACCCCCCGAUCCCCGAGGCGCGGGUCUGCCCGCGGGGGGGUGCGCGGUCCGCCUCCGCCCGCCCAGGCCCCGGCUGCGGCCCCGUUUCCUCCCCCCGCCCCCCGGGGGCCCCUGGAGCCCAGAGGCUGGCUGCGCAGGGACGCGCUCGGCCCCCGGGUCUUCCCCCGCGCCGGGGGGCCGCGGGCCGCUUCUUGCGCUCGCCCCCCCCCCUCCCCGGACUCAGGCUUCGCGGGGGCCUCGCGCCGGGCGGGGGGGGCCGCUGAGCCUCCGGGCGCGCCGCCGGGGCGCCCCCCGCCCGGACCCCCGCCGCGCCCCCGCCGCCCGAGCGUCCAUCCGCCCCGCCCGGACCCCCGGACCCCCGCCGCCCCAGCGCACACCCGCUCUGACCCCCCCCGCCCCCGCCCCCGCCGGGCCCCCGCCGCCCGAGCGUCCAUCCGCCCCGCCCGGACCCGCACCCCCCGGGCCCCAGCCCGGCCCCCGCCGCCCGAGGGCCCCGACCUUGCGCCGACGGCGGGGCGGGCGCGGAGCCCACGCGCUGCAGCUCGCACCCCGCCGGCCCCCGGGGCCCCUCCAUGGCGCCGACGCCCGGGGCCCCGACCCUCCCGCUGCGCGUGGCCGACGGCUCGCCUCAUCGCCGUCCCCCCGCACCCGCGGGCGCCGUUCCCUCGACACCUGAUGCCGCGGGCGGCGCCGGGCUCGACUCCCUGCGGCGGGCGCGGGUCCUCUCGGCCGCAGGGGGCGCGGCAGCCCGGCCGCUCCCGGAGCCCCGGACCGGCUCAGCCCCGUCGCGCGCGGGUCCCGCGGCCGCCAGCUGCCGCCGGUGACAUCCUCCCCGCUCGGCCCCGCGGCUCGGGAGCCGCUCCGCUUCGCGCCCACUCCCUUCCCCGCCCUUCCUGGGUGGGCCCCCGGCGCCGCGCGCGUCCCUGA
rnacentral:lncRNA from 1 species